rnacentral:lncRNA from 1 species
GAUGCAGAGGGGGGCUCCUCUAGCAGGCCAGAAACAGAUAAAUCUCCAUAAAUUUAUUGGUAAGCUAGUGCCUUUAAGCUAUCGUAUGUAAAAAGGAUGCGGUUUAAAUAGCAUCCAGAAAGUUAUUUGUGGAACAGGAAUUAGCUGGUUUCAGCAAGGAUCUGCCCUUCCAAACUGGGCUCCGAGUGUAAAGGCUGUGACAGAAUUUAAUGCUUGGAAAAAUAAUACUUGUGUGAAUCAAGUGCUGAAGUGGUACAAGUAUCCGUAUUUUGUCUAAAAUUGUGAAAAGCCUUAAGGAAAUGAUCAGUCAUUUCUUUUUAAAGUGGUGUUAAAGUUCACCCACGCUUGUACAAACAGCAGCACGCAGGUAAUGCUGCAUGCCACCCUGUUUCUCCUGGAAAAAGUAGAAAAGUUUAGUUUUAUUGCUGGGUUAAGUAUGUACAUGCAAACAUGCUAACGAAAGUGAGGCAGACAUCAGAGACUCUCUUGGCUCAGCUGGGCACAGGGGGCCAAGGGUUCCCUCAGCCCUGCUCUGCAAAUGCCAGUGGGGCUUUGCUGAGGCUGCUCAGGGCCCUUCCUGAGCAUCACCAACACCUGUGACCUCUCCCACACCUGCAUGGGGCUGCUCUGAGUGCUACUCCAGCCCCACAGUGUGGGGGAUUAAUGUUAAUGGGCUCCUCUCAGCCUCACUGGAACCACAGCCCACAAGGGACAGAAGAAGCUGUUGUGGGCCUGCACGCAGCCCUGGCUCUCCCUGCUCCUGCAUGGCUGAUACGGAGGUGAGGCGAGGCCCCGGCAUGCCAAGCGUACAGAGCCUGAUCCAAAAUCAGGCAGCUCUGGGAUGGAGAGCAAGCAAGCAAGGUGGUGGUUGUGCUUCACAGAAGUGAUGGUGGGAAGCUGACAGAAGAUACUGGCAGGAAAUUCAGGAGAAAGGGUAUGUCUCCAGCAGUACUUGAUGUUGACCUUGAAGUUACCUUACCCAGUCUGUCUG